rnacentral:rRNA from 1 species
GAAUUCCGCGUGUAGUGGUGAAAUGCGUAGAUAUGCGGAGGAACACCAGUGGCGAAGGCGGUGUCCUGGGCCGAGACUGACGCUGAGACGCGAAAGCAUGGGUAGCGAACGGGAUUAGAAACCCCGGUAGUCCAUGCCGUAAACGAUGCACACUAGGUGUUCGUGCGGCUACGGUCGUGGGAGUGCCGAAGCAAACGCGAUAAGUGUGCCGCCUGGGGAGUACGGUCGCAAGGCUAAAACUCAAAGGAAUUGACGGGGGCCCGCACAAGCAGCGGAGCGUGUGGUUUAAUCCGAGGCUACGCGAAGAACCUUACCUGGGUUUGACAUAUAGGUGGUAGAGAAGUGAAAGCGGAUCGACCUUCGGGAGCCUAUACAGGUGCUGCAUGGCUGUCGUCAGCUCGUGUCGUGAGAUGUUCGGUUAAGUCCGAAAACGAGCGCAACCCCUAGAUUUAGUUACAAGUGUCUAGAUCGACUGCCGGCGAUAAGCCGGAGGAAGGUGGGGAUGACGUCAAGUCAGCAUGGCCUUUAUAUCCAGGGCUACACACACGCUACAAUGGCGCGUACAAUGGGUAGCGAAACCGCGAGGUGGAGCCAAUCCUGAAAGCGCGUCUCAGUUCGGAUUGCAGGCUGCAACUCGCCUGCAUGAAGUCGGAGUUGCUAGUAACCGCAGAUCAGCCACGCUGCGGUGAAUACGUUCCCGGGCCUUGUACACACCGCCCGUCACGUCAUGGAAGCUGGUCACGCCUGAAGUCGGGAAGCCAACCUAACGGAAGCUACCGCCGAAGGCAGGGCUGGUGACUGGGACGAAGUCGUAACAAGGUAACCAAGGGCGAA